CUCUUAACAUCAAUGGUC
rnacentral:piRNA from 1 species